rnacentral:lncRNA from 12 species
UUCCUCCUCCUCCUCUUGUUCUCCGUCUUCAUCCUCGUCCCGCUCUUCCUCUGCUUCUUCUUCCUCCUCCUCCUCUUCCUCCCGUUCGGCAUCUUCGUCUUCAUCCUGCUCUCCUCCUCUUCCUCAUCCCACCCUCCUCCUCUUCUUCUUCCUCCUGAGUCUUCAUCUUCAUCCCGCUCUUCUCCUCUUCCUCAUCCUCAUCCCGCCCUCCUCCUCCUCUUCUUCCUCCUCCCGUUUUUGUUCUCCAUCUUCAUCCCCACUCUGCUCUCCUCCUCCUCCCCUUCCUCAUCCUCAUCCUCAUCCCGCUCUUUUCUUCCUCAUCCCCAUCCUCUUCCUCACAUUCUCCAUUCCCACCCCGAUCUUUUCCUCUUCUCCAUCCUCAUCCCGCUCCUUCCUGCUCUUCUUCAUCCCCAUCCUCAUCCCACUCUUCUCCUCUUCAUCCUCAUGCUGCUCUCCUCCUCUUCCUCCCGUUUUCAUCCCCAUCCCUUUCUUCUCCUCCUCCCCUUCGCCACCUUCAUCCCCAUCCCUCUCCUUCCUCCUCCUCCUCCUCCUCCUCCAUCCCUCUCACCCCAUGAUGGAACGUGUGAGGGGCAGCAGGGGCAGGGACGGAGCUGGGGGGACACGGGGGGAACCCCACAAAAAUUAACUCAAAAGAAAUGAAAGAACGAAGGAGACAAAACCUGCACAAACCCCGCGCCGCCAUGGCGGCCAGGCCGGGCCCGGGGGCAAACAUGGCGGCGCGGGCGUGAGGCGGGAAUCGCCCUCAGCGCCGCGCUGGCCAGUCAGAGCGCGAGAAGCGAGAUUGACAGGUGCAUCGACCAAUCAGAACGGGCACUGCGGUUUGGGCGGGAAAAUCAGCCAAUGGAAGCGAAGGGCGGGCUCUGCAGGGGGUAUAAAGGAGCUGUGCAAAAUGGCGGGACGAGGAAGGUGAGAUUUUAAUUGUCCUAAAAUUGUCCUAAAAUUGUCCUAAAAUUGUUCUAAAAUUGUCCUGAAAUGUCCCGGAAUGUCCCGGGCCGGGCAGGAUCCGCUGAGAGUGACCCCCCCUGCAGCUCCAGGGGAUGCUGCCCCCCCCCCCCCCCCCCCCCCCCCCCCCCCCCCCCCCCCCCCCUGACCCCCCCUGCAGCUCCAGGGGAUGCUGAGGAAGGUGGGGAGCCCCUGGGAAGCCCCCGCAGACCCUCCCGGCCUGAGGGGAUUCUGUGAGGGGAUUCCCAAAAUUCCAGCGAUUCCUUGUGUGAUAAAACUGAUAAAUGAUUCGUGUUAAUCACAGAAGUUUUGCAGUUUGUAUAAACCAGAAUACCCCCCCCCCCCCCCCCCCCCCCCCCCCCCCCCCCCCC